UAUACGCAUGUCUCCAUAAAUUUUGUUUUUUCUUGUUGUAAUUAAAAGCAAUUUUUUGGUUGUUUUUUAAUUGGGAUAUUGCCAGAAUUUCUACACAACUCCUUCUGUGAAACCUCAUCUCUCUCGUUAAAUCACAGUAAUCGGGGCAUUGCUUUCUCUCGCAAAUAUCUCCUCCAUCUCUCGCCUCUGUACGUACGGUCACCAUAUUCCAUCGGGAUUCUCUGCUGCCGCUUCCUUUUCCGGCCAGCUACUACUGGGUUGGCGAGUUUCAGUCCUUGCUCCGUUUCCCCUCUUCAUCGUGUAUCGUGUCUCUGUGGUGUCCUUUGUAGUCUCCUCAAAUCUGCCGCCAAUCUUUCUUUCAGUAGCCGUUGUCUGCUUUAUCCAGCGAGUCCAGCGUUAUGCCACGCUUCCCUAUUUGAUUUCGUUGGACAGAUUCAGGUUCUUGACUUGCAGGCUCUGUUUUACUCCCUUAAGCAUGGAAUUUGGUUCUGAAAUUUUUAUAGUUAGCGUGGGGCUGGUUCUGCAGGACAGAUUCAGGUUCUUGACUUGCGGGCUCUGUUUUACUCCCUUAAGCAUGGAAUUUGGUUCUGAAAUUUUUAUAGUAGAUUGGAUUAAUGUCUAGGGAGGUCUCAUAAAAAAUUUCAAGUGAAAAACUUGUAUUUUUGAUUUAUUAAAAAUGUUUAAAUGUCGGUAGCACAGAUUGGUGAAAAUUCUGUUUUGAUGUCACAAAGAGAAUUGUUUUGCAAGUCUAAAUCUGUGAGUUGGGUUUGAAAAUUCUAUGACCUCUGCGUAUAAUAUUUAUAAAGAUCUCUGAGAAAUAUUUUGUUAAAAAAAAUUGAAUUAUUGACUUAUGAUUUAGCAUAUGAUUUCCGAGUUCGCUAAUUAUUUAAAUCCAGUCUAUGAGUAGUGGUUGAUGGUAUUUGAUUGGUUUAUUGAGUUGGUUUGAGUUGAUUACUUGUUGAAUAGUAUAGGAAAACAGGUGGAUAGUCUGAUAAACAGGGGAGAUGCUGCCGAUUUUUUUUUGUUAAGAAUUGAAUGUGAUUUGUUAUUAAUAGAUAUUAAACAAUCAAUAGCAUUACAUCAUAGUUAGAUUGAAAUAUGUUUAUGUGUUAUAUGAUCGUGAAUAGUUUUAAUAGUUAUAAAAGGAUAUUGGUCUAGGCAUGUGUUAUGUGUUAUCUGACUUGUAUGUCAUAUAUGACAAAGGGUAGUUAAUUACGUAUUCUAGUUAAUUUCGUCUGAUCCGAUGAUUGAAGCAAUAUUUGCAUAAUGCAUGGAAUCGAGCGAGGUAUGCUUACCAAUGGCGUUCUGAAGUAAUGAUAUGACAUCACGAGUCGAAUCAAGAAUAUUCUGAUAAGGCAAGGCUGUGAUGUAGAUUAAGUUCCGUUAGAAACUAGCAAGAUGGAACGAUUAUGCGGUAUAUAGUGUUGUUAGAAAUCUGAGCUAGACACCGGAGUCAAGGCAAGUAUCCCUAUCUUCACUUAUUGUUCAAGUGGUAUUUUCUUUAAACCCUUAUGCAAUUAAUUCUAUUCUCAACUUGUAAUUACUGCAAGUCUUCCUAUUCAAACUUUAUAUUUAGAAGCAAGUGCUCUUUCCUUCAAACUUUUACUUAUUGCAAAUGCAUGACUUAAAUACGAUUUUGAGUUGGAAAGAGUGACUUUUAAAUUGAUACACAUGGUUUCAAAAUCUCUACAAAUGAUUUUCAUGUCCCGGUUUAGUUCCUAUGGUUGUAAGGCUUAUCCGUUGUAAGUAUACUUCCGAUGGAAUAAACCUUUUCUUAAAAUGCAAAUUCUUUAGAACUGGGAAGUAAAAGAAAAAUUCAGAUAUAAUCAUUGGACUAUUGUUUUGUUUGCGUAAGAGGCCGAUGCCCAGCUUUGCGUAAGAGGUCUAUGCCCAGCCUAUUGUUUUGUUUGCAUAAGAGGCCUUUGGCCCAGUGUUAUAUGGAGACCUAGCUAGUCUUCAGUUCCGGAACAUUUUAUUUUAGAGCAAUGCGUAACCAUUGUCCGGGUUACUGUAGACUGAUCAUCUACAGUGACUAUUAACGUCCAAUAUAUCUGAAUGCUUUGGAAAUUUAUGUAUACUUUUGAAUUGUUUUGGUUGCAAGUUAAAAGCAUGUUGUUUUGUAUACUUCCAGUUCAAUUACUUUCUCUGCUUUAAAUCCUGUUUCUUUUUAAUUAUUAUACUUGCUGAGCAUUCUUUUGCUCAUUCUUGCUAUUUCUUCUAACCCCUUUCAGAUAAUGUUAAAGAUGGUUCGCCUAUUUAGGCUAAGAGUAAGAGUAAGGCUAGGCGAGGAUUGCAAGUGAUUAAGUUUCAACCUGAUGGUCAGGAAGAGUAUCCAAGAUCGAGUCUUUGGGACUAGUGGUAAUUGGAGUUGACUAAAUUUGGUUCAGUUGAAAAAAAAUAGAUUUGUUAAAUUGGAUAUUGGUUAUCCUUCAUAUCGAGGUUUAGUUGAUAAUAUAGUUCAAGCUGUAAUAAGAUCUGUAGUUUUGUUUUCUGAUUUCAAUAUUAUAACCUGUUUGCAAUCCUGUUUUAAAGGGGGUGAAAUUGAGUUUUAAUUUAAAUCAUUUGUUUUAAUA